rnacentral:rRNA from 1 species
UACGUAGGGGGCGAGCGUUGUCCGGAUUCAUUGGGCGUAAAGAGCUCGUAGGCGGUUCGGCAAGUCGGGUGUGAAAACUCCAGGCUCAACCUGGAGACGCCACCCGAUACUGCUGUGACUCGAGUCCGGUAGGGGACCACGGAAUUCCUGGUGUGAGCGGUGGAAAUGACGCAGAGUAUCAGGAGGAACACCGGUGGCGAAGGCGGUGGUCUGGGCCGGAACUGACGCUGAGGAGCGAAAGCGUGGGGAGCGAACAGG